UUUUGCCUUUAAUACAAAACUACAGUAACCAAGACAGCAAGGUACUGGUACAAAAAGAUACACAAGGACCAAUGGAAAACAAUAGAGAAGUCAGAAGUAAAGGCAUACGCCCCCAGCUACUUAUCUUCAAAAGAGCCAAUGAAAAUAAGCAACAAGGAAAGGACUCCUUCAAUAAAUGGUACUGGAAUAACUGGCUAGCCAUGUGCAGAAGAAUAAAUCUGGACUCCUGCAUUUCACAAUAUGCAAAAACUAAAGUUGAAUUAGACGUAAGGUUUAAAUGUAAGACCUCCAACUAUUAAAAUCCUAGAAGAAAACCAAGGAAAUACCCAUCUUAAUAUCAGCCUUGGCAAAGCAUUUAUGGCUAAGUCCCCAAAAGCAAUUGCAA